rnacentral:rRNA from 1 species
CCUACGGGAGGCAGCAGUGAGGAAUAUUGGUCAAUGGACGAGAGCCUGAACCAGCCAAGUCGCGUGAAGGAUGAAGGAUCUAUGGUUUGUAAACUUCUUUUAUAUGGGAAUAAAAGGGGGCUCGUGAGCCCCGUAUUGUAUGUACCAUCAGAAAAAGGACCGGCUAAUUCCGUGCCAGCAGCCGCGGUAAUACGGAAGGUCCGGGCGUUAUCCGGAUUUAUUGGGUUUAAAGGGAGCGUAGGCCGGCUUUUAAGUCAGCUGUGAAAGUCCGCGGCUCAACCGUGGAAUUGCAGUUGAAACUGGAGGCCUUGAGUGCACACAGGGAUGCCGGAAUUCAUGGUGUAGCGGUGAAAUGCUUAGAUAUCAUGAAGAACUCCGAUCGCGAAGGCAAGUGUCCGGGGUGCAACUGACGCUGAGGCUCGAAAGUGCGGGUAUCAAACAGGAUUAGAUACCCUUGUAGUC